rnacentral:lncRNA from 1 species
ACUCUCUGAGUCAUCAUCCUAUGAGACCACAUAGAACGUUCUCUCUUCUUACAAGGAGUGACUGAUUUUUUAUUGACCACUCACAAUUUUUAUGUACACUUUACCAUACCCAGAACAUCUUAUAUAUGUCUUAGAGAGCUAUACUAGGGAAUAAAAUAAAGUAGAGAACCAUAUACAUAAGGUACCAUAGUGAUCUCAGAUCUCA